CUCGUGUAAUAGUAAUCCUCAAUGGAACAUAUAAACGCAUGUACCUUUGCACUUCAUUAGCAUGUUCAAGAUAAAUUUUACGAAUCAAAUUUCAAAUUAUCCGUUAAAAAUUACUAUCGGGAGAUUAUUAUUUUUUUUUUGUAUAUUCAAAAACUUCAAGUGGUCGUUGAAUCGCUUGUUCGAGUGACGCUUAGGGAGCUACCAUUUGAUUUUUAUGGGGGGGGGGGGCUAGGAUGAAAUUUGAAAAAAUAGGCAGGACAGGAGUUUUGAGUAAAAAAAAGUCAGGAUGAGACACUUGCAAAAAAAAAAAGUCAGGACGACAAUUUAGGUAAAAAAAAGUCUGGAUAAACUAAAAAAAAAAAAAAAAGGCAGGACCGAACAGAGUGAAAAAUAAAAAGGCAGGACAGAGAUUACAGCUAAAAAAAAAUGCAGGACAAAAUUUUUCAUCCUAGCCCCUCCCCCCCCCCCCCCCCCAUAAAAAUCAAAUGGUAGCUCCCUUAC
rnacentral:lncRNA from 1 species